rfam:Desulfosporosinus sp. OL contig00127, whole genome shotgun sequence.
UCUGGUGAUCAUGCCGGAGGGGUUCCACCCGUUCCCAUACCGAACACGGAAGUUAAGACCUCCAGGGCCGAUAAUACUUGGGGCGCAGGCCCCUGGAAACGUAGGUCAUCGCCAGGU